GACGGAGGAUGCAAGCGUUAUCCGGAAUGAUUGGGCGUAAAGCGUCCGCAGGUGGCUGUGUAAGUCUGCUGUCAAAGAGCGAAGCUCAACUUCGUAAAGGCAGUGGAAACUACACGGCUAGAGUGCGUUCGGGGCAGAGGGAAUUCCUGGUGUAGCGGUGAAAUGCGCAGAUAUCAGGAAGAACACCCGUGGCGAAGGCGGCUCUCUGGGACGGUACUAACGCUGAGACGCGAAAGCGUGGGGAGCGAACAGG
rnacentral:rRNA from 1 species